GGUCAAGAGAUGUACACAAAGGAUUCUACACAGUAUAUAGACAAAUUGCGGUUUAGUUAAAAUGGAGAAGGAUGUCACUGGCUUUUUCCGGAAGAAUCGGAUAUGCCACUUUCAUACCGAGCCAGCUUUCUUCCUUUGGAUCAUUUCCGACUGGUUUCGUCCUGACUUGGAAUUAUCAGGGGUACGACCCCUGCCCCAGUCUUGAUAAUCCCACAUGAAGCGUGUCCCGUGAUCAAGACCAGAGCGCCACGACCCGUCAUCUGACAAGGAGCUAACUAGUUAAAGGCAUUAUUUAUGAAGUCAAGAGAGAAUGUGUUUAAGCCACCGCUAGAUGGUCCCUAAAGCCUAAAGUAAUUAACGGUCUCGGUCCAUACCUUGGUGGCUGUAUAUGGCUAUAUGCUCCUGCCGUGGGAGAGAGAGACAC
rnacentral:lncRNA from 1 species